rnacentral:rRNA from 1 species
CUCGUAGGCGGUUUGUUGCGUCGGGAGUGAAAACUCAGGGCUUAACUCUGAGCUUGCUUCCGAUACGGGCAGACUUGAGGUAUUCAGAGGAGAACGGAAUUCCUGGUGUAGCGGUGAAAUGCGCAGAUAUCAGGAGGAACACCGGUGGCGAAGGCGGUUCUCUGGGAAUUACCUGACGCUGAGGAGCGAAAGUGUGGGGAGCGAACA